rnacentral:rRNA from 1 species
UACAGAGGGUGCAAGCGUUAUCCGGAUUCACUGGGUUUAAAGGGUGCGUAGGUGGGUUGGUAAGUCAGUGGUGAAAUCUCCAGGCUUAACUUGGAAACUGCCAUUGAUACUAUCAAUCUUGAAUACCGUGGAGGUCAGCGGAAUAUGUCAUGUAGCGGUGAAAUGCUUAGAUAUGACAUAGAACACCAAUUGCGAAGGCAGCUGGCUACACGAAUAUUGACACUGAUGCACGAAAGCGUGGGGAUCAAACAGG